CUAAGAUGGCUACCACUACCAAGUACAGCUGGUUUCUCAUGGGUGUAUAGGAGCCCCAUAGAGGUAAAAUGUACUCCUUGAGAUUGCAUAAUUCACUGGAAAGAGGCCUGGCCAUGGAGCAGAUGCCUAGUCUCACCCCAGGCUAUAUUCUGCUUAUCUUGCUCAUUGCCUCCUCAAGAUGUUCCACUGGGCGGGUGACAAAGCUUUGGCCCUCAUGAUCAAAUCUGUUACAAUCAAUAGUCCAAGGAAGCAGAAUAAUCUUAUUUAUUAAGCCCAUUCCCAAGCAUCAGCUGAAUUAUUUCCUGGCAUCAAAAUGAGCUGUUCCUGAAUUACACACCUGAAGAAAAGAGCUCUGUGUAAGCUCAAAAGCUUGCCUCUGUCACCAACAGAAGUUGGUCCAAUAAAAAAUAUUACCUCA